AGUGAACGCUGGCGGUAGGCCUAACACAUGCAAGUCGAACGGCAGCACAGUAAGAGCUUGCUCUUACGGGUGGCGAGUGGCGGACGGGUGAGGAAUACAUCGGAAUCUACUUUUUCGUGGGGGAUAACGUAGGGAAACUUACGCUAAUACCGCAUACGACCUACGGGUGAAAGCAGGGGAUCUUCGGACCUUGCGCGAUUGAAUGAGCCGAUGUCGGAUUAGCUAGUUGGCGGGGUAAAGGCCCACCAAGGCGACGAUCCGUAGCUGGUCUGAGAGGAUGAUCAGCCACACUGGAACUGAGACACGGUCCAGACUCCUACGGGAGGCAGCAGUGGGGAAUAUUGGACAAAGGGCGCAAGCCUGAUCCAGCCAUACCGCGUGGGUGAAGAAGGCCUUCGGGUUGUAAAGCCCUUUUGUUGGGAAAGAAAAGCAGCAGGUUAAUACCCCGCUGUUCUGACGGUACCCGAAGAAUAAGCACCGGCUAACUUCGUG
rnacentral:rRNA from 1 species